GUUUGAUCCUGGCUCAGAUUGAACGCUGGCGGCGUGCUUAACACAUGCAAGUCGAGCGGUAACAGGUGUAGCAAUACAUGCUGACGAGCGGCGAACGGGUGAGUAAUGCUUCGGAAUCUACCCAAUGGUGUGGAAUAACCAGCCGAAAGGUUGGCUAAUACCGCAUGAGCCCUACGGGGGAAAGCAGGGGAUCGCAAGACCUUGCGCCGAUGGAUGAGCCGAAGUCGGAUUAGCUAGUUGGUAGGGUAACGGCCUACCAAGGCGACGAUCCGUAGCUGGUCUGAGAGGACGACCAGCCACACUGGGACUGCGACACGGCCCAGACUCCUACGGGAGGCAGCAGUGGGGAAUAUUGGACAAUGGGGGCAACCCUGAUCCAGCGACGCCGCGUGUGUGAAGAAGGCCUGCGGGUUGUAAAGCACUUUUAGUGGGGAUGAAAAAUUCAGGGCUAAUAUCCCUGGGUCUUGACCUAACCCAAAGAAAAAGCACCGGCUAACUCUGUGCCAGCAGCCGCGGUAAUACAGAGGGUGCAAGCGUUAAUCGGAAUUACUGGGCGUAAAGCGUGCGUAGACGGUUAGAUAAGUCGGGUGUGAAAGCCCCGGGCUCAACCUGGGAAUUGCAUUCGAGACUGUUUAGCUAGGGUACGGAAGAGGGAAGCGGAAUUUCAGGUGUAGCGGUGAAAUGCGUAGAUAUCUGAAGGAACACCAGUGGCGAAAGCGGCUUCCUGGUCCAGUACCGACGUUCAGGCACGAAAGCGUGGGGAGCAAACAGGAUUAGAUACCCUGGUAGUCCACGCCAUAAACGAUGAGAACUAGACGUUGGGGGGGUAAGCCUCUCAGUGUCGCAGCUAACGCGCUAAGUUCUCCGCCUGGGGAGUACGGCCGCAAGGUUGAACUCAAAGGAAUUGACGGGACCCGCACAAGCGGUGGAGCAUGUGGUUUAAUUCGAUGCACGCGAGACCUUACCUGUCCUUGACAUCUCAGGACCCUGAGAGAUUUAGGGUGCGUAAGAGCCUGGAGACAGGUGCUGCAUGCUGUCGUCAGCUCGUGUCGUGAGAUGUUGGUUAGUCCCGCAACGAGCGCAACCCUGGUCCUUAA
rnacentral:rRNA from 1 species